UAGGUGAUGGCGCAGUUGGCUAGCGCAUAGGUCUUAUAGUUAAGUUGAGUGAUCUUGAGGUUGAGAGUUCGAGCCUCUCUCACCCAA
rnacentral:tRNA from 1 species